rnacentral:misc_RNA from 1 species
UUUUUAAUUAAAAACUAGAAUGAAAGGUUAUACAUUCAAAUUUCUUUAUUAAUUUUUAAUAAAUAAUUUAUAUUAAAUAUAAAAAUAUAUUUUUAAAAAAAAAAGACGACAAGACCCUAUUAAAUUUUACUUAUAGUUUAGCUGGGGAAGCUUUUUAAUUAAAAUUUUUUAAAUUUAAUAAAUAAAAAUCUAAUAAAAUUAAAAUUUUAAUAAAUUACUAUAGGGAUAACAGCAUUAUAUUUUUUUAAAGUUCAUAUUAAAAAAAAAGAUUGUGACCUCGAUGUUGAAUUAUAUUUUCUAUAUUUAAUGCAAUAAUUAUAAAAGUAGAUCUGUUCGAUCUUUAAAAUAUUACAUGAUUUGAGUUCAAACCGGUGUAAACCAGGUUGGUUUCUAUCUUUUUUUAUAUUUUUCUAGUACGAAAGGACAAAAAAAUUUUUAUUUUAAUAAAUUAGCAAAUAAAUGCAUUAGAUUUAGAAUCUAAAUAUAUUUAAUAAUU